GCAAGUCGAGCGGUAACAGAGAGGUGCUUGCACCUUUGCUGACGAGCGGCGGACGGGUGAGUAAUGCUUGGGAACAUGCCUUGAGGUGGGGGACAACAGUUGGAAACGACUGCUAAUACCGCAUAAUGUCUACGGACCAAAGGGAGCUUCGGCUCUCGCCUUUAGAUUGGCCCAAGUGGGAUUAGCUAGUUGGUGAGGUAAUGGCUCACCAAGUCAAUGACGCCUAACUGGUUUGAGAGGAUGAUC
rnacentral:rRNA from 1 species